CGGCGGACGGGUGAGUAACACGUGGAUAACCUACCUAUAAGACUGGGAUAACUUCUGGAAACCGGAGCUAAUACCGGAUAAUAUAUUUAACCGCAUGGUUCAAUGGUGAAAGACGGUUUUGCUGUCACUUAUAGAUGGAUCCGCGCCGCAUUAGCUAGUUGGUAAGGUAACGGCUUACCAAGGCAACGAUGCGUAGCCGACCUGAGAGGGUGAUCGGCCACACUGGAACUGAGACACGGUCCAGACUCCUACGGGAGGCAGCAGGU
rnacentral:rRNA from 1 species